rnacentral:ncRNA from 2 species
AUGAAGCGUAUAGGAGACUUCCUUAAAUGGGGACCGAAGGUACAAAUGUUUACUAUUACCCGAUAGUAAAUGUGAAAUUCUCAGGUGAAUAUACUAUAUGGCGGAC